CUGCAUUGCAUUUUGCCUCCUGCAAGCAUCAUCAACAGUUACUGGAGGAAUGUAAUUCCAGAAAGCUUGAAAGCUGUGGUGAUGGUAAUUAUGUAUCAAAUGCCUGAUUCUAUUUCUGUUAUUAUUGUUUUGUCAUUUCUGUUCUACCAGCGAUCUGACUGAACUCGCAAAGGGACAAAUCCAGUUUUUCUUUUUGACUUUGUAAAAUUUAAUCAGGCCUGAUAGAAAACUCACAGCUCUUGGGGGAAACUAAGUAGGAGCCACGAAAUGUCAUUUUAACAGAGCGUGGGUUUUGUGACUGUAGGAAAGGAUUUAAGGACGCUCCUUCUGUUCGGCUUCUCAGGCACGGAGCACGGGCUCCAAGCACGCACACACGCCACAGCUCCCGGAUGCUGUGGCUCCCUCAUCGGGGCUUCUGCAGCGCCACAAGCCCCUUCGGGAUGCUUCGAGGGGCUCCCGGUGGGUGGUGGUACAAACGCUGCUACGGCCGCCGCCGCCAGUCCUGCUGCUGUUGUUGCUGCUGCUGCAGUCACGUGGGAGCCCCUUUAAGUUUCCAUAGAGAGGCCUCUCCGGUGUCACAUGAUGGACAUGAUAUAAUGAAACAACAUUGUGAGAGGAAAGCAUUAGGGGAGCCCACGGCUACAAAAACAAGUGAGUGAGAAGAGGUGGGAGGAAGAGAAACUACGCCACCUCCCCUGCAGCCGGGCGCACGCAGCAGCCUGGCGUGACAAGUGGGCGACGCCUGGGGGCAGGGAGCCGGGGGUCCUCAGCCCUGGCCCGGGCACCCCGCCGCCCACCGCGCAGAGAACAACUUUUCGCCGGCAGCCGCGGCCAGCACGGCACCUGUCUCCGGAGUCUCCAUCGCUCCUCGUGGUAAUCCAAGGGAGAUUCUCGAAGAAUAUGUUCUACAAAUCUACAUGCGCAUCAUUUUCCCCCUCGCGUCGCGCUCGGGAGGAAGGGUCGAGAAGAGGACCUAAGCGGCGAGUGUUCGCCCAGAGGCAUUUUAUUAAUGCUUUUAGGGGUUAGAAGAGUUGGGAUAGUUUGCCAUCUGGAGUUUCUCUGCCUUGCCAGUCUGAGCUCAGACCUGCCAGUUUGUGAGAGAUGAUUGAUGACACCCUGUAACAGCUGAG